UAGGGAAUCUUCGGCAAUGGACGGAAGUCUGACCGAGCAACGCCGCGUGAGUGAAGAAGGUUUUCGGAUCGUAAAGCUCUGUUGUAAGAGAAGAACGAGUGUGAGAGUGGAAAGUUCACACUGUGACGGUAUCUUACCAGAAAGGGACGGCUAACUACGUGCCAGCAGCCGCGGUAAUACGUAGGUCCCGAGCGUUGUCCGGAUUUAUUGGGCGUAAAGCGAGCGCAGGCGGUUAGAUAAGUCUGAAGUUAAAGGCUGUGGCUUAACCAUAGUAGGCUUUGGAAACUGUUUAACUUGAGUGCAAGAGGGGAGAGUGGAAUUCCAUGUGUAGCGGUGAAAUGCGUAGAUAUAUGGAGGAACACCGGUGGCGAAAGCGGCUCUCUGGCUUGUAACUGACGCUGAGGCUCGAAAGCGUGGGGAGCAAACAGGAUUAGAUACCCUGGUAGUCCACGCCGUAACGAUGGGUGCUAGGUGUUAGACCCUUUCCGGGGUUUAGUGCCGUAGCUAACGCAUUAAGCACUCCGCCUGGGGAGUACGACCGCAAGGUU
rnacentral:rRNA from 1 species